rnacentral:lncRNA from 1 species
CACAUCCUCCUGGAUGCCAGUCGGGUUCAUUAACCCCUGAGCCACGACGGGAACUCCUGUGGGCACCGUUUGAUUUCCUCAUCGUGGAGCAGAGCUCCAUCGAGACCACAGCUGAAAGCAACCUAAGAGGCCUUGGUGGUGAUGCUUGAACACACCUGUGUCCUCAUGGCGCCACCUACAGGUGGGCCCUGGGCCCGGGUGGGAGCUGUGGCCGGCAGAGCAUCUUGGCCUCUGACUCAGCGGUGCUGUUUUCCGCCUGGGAGUGCCAGUCACACCCACUGCCCGAUGGCCCCUUGGUGCUCAGAGCGGUCCCUGUGCUGACCCUGGCGGCCCCCUGUGACGGAGCCCACGGCUCCCUGCGGCGCUCGAGAUGACACAGGCUGCUCUCAGGAGCCUGUGAAGCCCUCAUCCUUGGUGAGUCCGGGGGCCCAGCUGACCCCUCUUUCUUACCUUCGUGGGAGGGUGGACUUUGAACCCCCGACUCUCCAGGGGUCCGGGUGGGUUUGGGACGAGCAAAGGCCCAGGGCUUCGCAGUGGAAGGAGGACACUCCAGAAGCAGUGAGACUUGUGCUCCGUCUGUCACCUCCUUGCAGUCACCCAGGGCAGGUCCAGGGAGACCAGCAGCCUUUCUGAAAUUAGUGCCACUAACUGGGCUACUGGUGAGAACCAACAAGGCUCCUUGCUGGCCUAGAAAUGGCAGCUCCCGGCUGCACACCUGCAGUCCUGACUGGGGCAGCAGCGCGGGCUGGGGUCAGGGGCAGGGAGACCCUGAGCUGGGGACCCCGUGUGCCGCUUUUAGGGCUCAGGAAGGAUCAGAGGUGUGGGGCAGGUCUCUGAGGAGGAUGGGGGUGCAGGAGGAGGGCAUGUCUUGACCAGGUGGCACCUGCAGCCUGGUGCUGUCUGGAUGUCACACUGCCCCAUGGCCUUGCUGGGCAGGGGCUGGGGCCAGGGCCAGCCUCUCACCCAGUCCCUUCUCAGUGUGCAGGGAGUACUGGUGACCCAGCGCCACCCCCACUGCUGCCAGUUCUCCCUCAGGGUCCUCUGGAGGCCGGGGCUCUCCACGCAUGGCGCCCCAGCAAGGGAGCACACAGCCCCGGCAGAUCCAGCCUGAUGUGCAGGUAUGACGAGGCCCGUGUGAGACCACCUCCCCUUUGCAGCUUCUCUUCAGACCUUGGUGGGACAGAUCCUACACAUAGUCCUUCCAGGGCCACAGGCCUGGCCUCCGGUGAGGAAACUCAAAGACAAAUGGCCUACACUGCAGGACCCAGGCCUGGUGGGGGACAGCAGGGGCCCAGCCUGCCAGCACUCCAUCCCAGGGUGGACAUGGGACCUUUGGGGUUACAACAGACUGAGCCCCCUCCUGAAGCACAGUGACAGUGGCCACAGGGGGCAUACCAACUUAUUUCCUAUCCCUGGAAACAAAACUGGCAUAGGCAAAUGCAGGCAUUGGAAGAUACCAGAGAGGUUUUUAAUUUCCCCCAGUUAAACAGAGCUCUUAAAAAACAGGUAGUUGUUGCAGUUCCCUUCGAGACUGAGCGGUUAAUGAAGCCAACUAGCAUCCAGGAGGAUGUGGGUUUGCUCCCUGGCCUCGCUCAGUGGGUUAAGAAUCCGGUAUUGCCGUGAGCUGUGGUGUAGGUUGCAGACGCUGCUUGGAUCCAGCGUUGCUGUGGCUGUGGGGUAGGCCGGUGGCUGUAGCUCCGAUUCCACCCUGAGCCUGGGAACCUCCAUAUGCUGCGGGUUCAGCCCUAAGAAGCCAAAAAAAAAAAAAAAAGGUAGUUCUUGAAUAAUCUUUGAAAUUUUGAAAAUUUUGCAAUGAUUUUUUUUUAAAGUAUAGUUGAUUUUAUUUAUUUAUUUAUUGUCUUUGUAGGACCACACCUGUGUCAUGUGGCGGUUCACAGGCUAGGGGCUGAAUCGGAGCUAUAGCCGCUAGCCUACACCACAGCAACGUGGGAUUUGAGCCACGUUUGCUGCCUACACCACAGCUCAUGGCAACGCUGGAUCCUUAACCUGCUGAGCAAGACCAGGGAUCGAACCUGUAUCCUCAUGGAUACUAGUCAGAUUUGUUUCCACUGAGCCACAAGGGGAACUCCCUGAAAAUGAUUUUCGAAAGUAACUUAAGCUCUUAUACUCACAUGUGGAAAACAAACAACAAAUGACACCAGGG